UACCAGCUCUCCGAGUGGUAGGGAUGAUUAUUGGGCUUAAAGCGUCCGUAGCCGGCUUGGCGAGUCUCCUGUUAAAUUCAGCGACCUAAUCGUUGACCCGCGGGAGAUACUACUAGGCUAGGAGGCGGGAGAGGCCGACGGUACUUCCGGGGUAGGGGUGAAAUCCUAUAAUCCCGGGAGGACCACCAGUGGCGAAGGCUGUCGGCUAGAACGCGCUCGACGGUGAGGGACGAAAGCUGGGGUAGCGAACCGGAUUAGAUACCCGGGUAGUCCCAGCUGUAAACUAUGCGGGCUAGGUGUUGGGGUGGCUACGAGCCACUUCAGUGCCGCAGGUAAGCCAUUAAGCCCGCCGCCUGGGGAGUACGGCCGCAAGGCUGAAACUUAAAGGAAUUGGCGGGGGAGCACCACAAGGCGUGAAGCUUGCGGUUC
rnacentral:rRNA from 1 species